UGAGCAAGGACUGGACACAACAGUAGGGCCCCUUGGUACCUCCAGGGCCCUGGCAGCCAUGGCCCAAAUGCCAAAGUCAUCCCAGGCCUGUUGAUGGCUUAGCGAGAAGCAGCAGUUGCAAAGCACAGCUGGAUGCCUUUUCACCAGUUGUGCAAGAAUAUCUACAUCACCCUCUGUGAUGAGGAUGUCUGCUGACCAGAAGGGGCUUCUGGGCUUGGGUCUACAGGACUGCUACAAAACACCGGAGCGAUGCCUGCAGGAAGAAGAGAAAAACAACUCAAGAG